rnacentral:rRNA from 1 species
UGGGGAAUCUUCCGCAAUGGGCGAAAGCCUGACGGAGCAACGCCGCGUGAGUGAAGACGGCCUUCGGGUUGUAAAACUCUGUGAUUCGGGACGAAAGAUAAGCAGACGAAUAAUCUGCAUAAGUGACGGUACCGAAAAAGCAAGCCACGGCUAACUACGUGCCAGCAGCCGCGGUAAUACGUAGGUGGCAAGCGUUGUCCGGAAUUAUUGGGCGUAAAGCGCGCGCAGGCGGCUACUUAAGUCCAUCUUAAAAAUGCGGGGCUUAACCCCGUGAUGGGAUGGAAACUGAGAAGGUGGAGUGUCGGAGAGAAAAGUGGAAUUCCUAGUGUAGCGGUGAAAUGCGUAGAGAUUAGGAAGAACACCGGUGGCGAAGGCGACUUUCUGGACGACAACUGACGCUUAGGCGCGAGAGCGUGGGGAGCAAACAGG